AGAGUUUGAUCAUGGCUCAGGACGAACGCUGGCGGCGUGCUUAACACAUGCAAGUCGAGCGGAAAGGCCCUUCGGGGUACUCGAGCGGCGAACGGGUGAGUAACACGUGAGUAACCUGCCCUGGACUUUGGGAUAACCCUCGGAAACGGGGUCUAAUACCGGAUACCACUUCCACUCGCAUGGGUGGGGGUUGAAAGCUCCGGCGGUGAAGGAUGAGCCCGCGGCCUAUCAGCUUGUUGGUGAGGUAAUGGCUCACCAAGGCGACGACGGGUAGCCGGCCUGAGAGGGCGACCGGCCACACUGGGACUGAGACACGGCCCAGACUCCUACGGGAGGCAGCAGUGGGGAAUAUUGCACAAUGGGCGAAAGCCUGAUGCAGCGACGCCGCGUGAGGGAUGACGGCCUUCGGGUUGUAAACCUCUUUCAGCAGGGAAGAAGCGAAAGUGACGGUACCUGCAGAAGAAGCGCCGGCUAACUACGUGCCAGCAGCCGCGGUAAUACGUAGGGCGCGAGCGUUGUCCGGAAUUAUUGGGCGUAAAGAGCUCGUAGGCGGCUUGUCACGUCGGGUGUGAAAGACCGGGGCUUAACUCCGGUUCUGCAUUCGAUACGGGCUACCUAGAGUGUGGUAGGGGAGAUCGGAAUUCCUGGUGUAGCGGUGAAAUGCGCAGAUAUCCUGAGGAACACCGGUGGCNAAGGCGGUUUUUUGGGUUCUACCUGACCCUGAGGACCAAAAGUGUG
rnacentral:rRNA from 1 species